rnacentral:rRNA from 1 species
CCAUCGAGUUUUUGAACGCAAGUUGCGCCCAAAACCUUCGGGUCGAGGGCACGUCUGCCUGGGUGUCAC